UACAGAGGGGGCAAGCGUUAUUCGGAAUUAUUGGGCGUAAAGGGCGCGUAGGCGGCCUGGCAAGUGGAAGGUGAAAUCCCUCGGCUUAACCGAGGAACUGCCCUCCAAACUGCUUGGCUUGAGACCGGGAGAGGUGAGUGGAAUUCCCAGUGUAGCGGUGAAAUGCGUAGAUAUCUGGAGGAACACCGGUGGCGAAGGCGGCGUUCUGGACUGCAACUGACACUGAUAAACGAAAGCCAGGGGAGCAAACGGG
rnacentral:rRNA from 1 species